rnacentral:rRNA from 1 species
CGCCGCGUGAGGGAUGGAGGUACAGAGUAUCGUAAACCUCUUUUGUCAGGGAAACAAAGGGCGCCACGUGUGGCGGCUAUGAGGGUACCUGAAGAAAAAGCAUCCGGCUAACUCCGUGCC